UAGGGAAUCUUCCACAAUGGACGCAAGUCUGAUGGAGCAACGCCGCGUGAGUGAAGAAGGUUUUCGGACCGUAAAGCUCUGUUGUUGGUGAAGAAGGAUAGAGGUAGUAACUGGCCUUUAUUUGACGGUAAUCAACCAGAAAGUCACGGCUAACUACGUGCCAGCAGCCGCGGUAAUACGUAGGUGGCAAGCGUUGUCCGGAUUUAUUGGGCGUAAAGCGAGCGCAGGCGGAAGAGUAAGUCUGAUGUGAAAGCCCUCGGCUUAACCGAGGAAUUGCAUCGGAAACUGUUUUCUUGAGUGCAGAAGAGGAGAGUAGAACUCCAUGUGUAGCGGUGGAAUGCGUAGAUAUAUGGAAGAAUACCAGUGGCGAAGGCGGCUCUCUGGUCUGCAACUGACGCUGAGGCUCGAAAGCAUGGUAGCGAACAGGAUUAGAUACCCUGGUAGUCCAUGCCGUAAACGAUGAGUGCUAAGUGUUGGGAGGCUUCCGCCUCUCAGUGCUGCAGCUAACGCAUUAAGCACUCCGCCUGGGGGAGUACGACCGCAAGGUUGAAAC
rnacentral:rRNA from 1 species